rnacentral:rRNA from 1 species
UUGAAAGGGAAACGAUUGAAGUCAGUCGUACCGACGAGAAAUCAGCUUAUCGUGUGUUAACUUGUGGGCGUGCGUGAGUUUCGGCCUCGCUGUUUGCAUGUUUGUGCGCUUUGGGUGUACUUUUUCGUAUGGUUGGCCAACAUCAGUUUCGAUCACUAUAAAAUGACUGGCGGAAUGUAGCUUCGAUUUCGGUUGAAGUGUUAUAGCCUCUGGUAGAUGUGGUAAUCGGGACUGAGGAUUGCAACGAAUAUCCUUUGGGCUAUCCGUCUGGCCUCUGAAAGUUGCUUAGGUGCUGAAAGCGUGCUUAUGGUUAUCUAAGUUAACGGUCAAUAGGUUAGAACGUGAUUACAUUCGUUAAGGAUGUUGACGUA